UGGUUUCAGGGAGAGAAUCGU
rnacentral:siRNA from 1 species